rnacentral:rRNA from 1 species
ACCCUAUCUAAGAUUAGCCUGCAUGUCUCAGUAUAAGCUUCUAUACGGCGAAACUGCGAAUGGCUCAUUAAAACAGUUAUAGUUUAUUUGGUGGUCAGCAAUUACAUGGAUAACCGUGGUAAUUCUAGAGCUAAUACAUGCGCCCAAACCCGACUUCGUGGAAGGGUUGUGUUUAUUAGAUACAGAACCAACCCAGGCUCCGCCUGGCCUUGAGGUGAUUCAUAAUAACCGAACGAAUCGCAUGGCUAUGCCGGCGAUAGACCAUUCAAGUUUCUGACCUAUCAUCUAUCGUCGGUAGGGUAUUGGCCUACCGUGGCAAUGACGGGUAACGGAGAAUUAGGGUUCGAUUCCGGAGAGGGAGCCUGAGAAACGGCUACCACAUCUAAGGAAGGCAGCAGGCGCGCAAAUUACCCAAUCCUGACGCAGGGAGGUAGUGACAAGAAAUAACAAUACAGGGCAUACAUGUCUUGUAAUUGGAAUGAGUAAACUUUAAAUCACUU